AAGUUAUGAUGUGGAAAUUUCCUCAAUAGGUCUUUAAAUCUCUCUCAAGCUUCAUACAAACUCUCUUGAUCAUGUUGGCCAAAAAGUUAUUAUCUCAUUGCAAAGCUU
rnacentral:snoRNA from 1 species